CAUCUAUUUCUCUCACUCUAUGACACACACACACACACAUACACACACUCUCUCUCUUAUGUCAGUUGCCCUCCUUCUGAUAUUGAAUCUCUGUUGCUUUGUUUCCAUCAUCGUCAGGUAAGGAGCAUCAUCGCCAUCGAGCACCACUGUCGAUCUACUAUUGAAGCAUUAUCCCCAGGUAUGUCCUCUCUAUUUUGCCUUCUCUCUAUCUCUCUUUCUGCCUCUCUUCCUCUAAUAUCUAGGUGGAGGAGGAGCUUCGUCGAAAUUGAAAAGUGCAGCAAGGAAAAUUGUACAAACAUGCAGGUCUUUCUCAUGCAAACAAAACCCUCUUAACGAUGAUCCUUUUGCCUCCCCUAAACUCACUGUCUGUCUCUUUUCCUUUUAUUCCUUUCUUUCUUUCUACUAAAAUGCUUGCUUUUUCAAUCCGAUUGGAUUAUUGUCCAAUUCCGAAUUGAAAAAUGAAUCUGCAUUGGCACAUGGUUGUUUAAUUAUAUAUAUUUGUGCUUUCUGUCUUGCAGAUCUUAUCAAUUUCACCCACAAAUCCUUCUCCAAGCCCAGGGAUCUCUGCUUCUGCCACCCAACCCCUUUCUUCAACCACUGCUUCCAAGUUGGCCAGUCAAAUUGCACGCACCGGUUUAUUUUGUGGUGAAAGGAAGAUAUGCGUGGUUUUGGUGAAAAAUUCGUAUGCAUCCAUGAAGUGUGAAUUCUAUCCCUUGUUAUUUCAAUCUAUUUUAUGAUUGUAUAACUUAUGUUGCUUUUUGAUAAGGACCCAUUGCCGUAGUCUACUUGGGUGCAAAUUGCCCUUAAUUUAGCUAGAGGAGUUGAAUACAUCCAUGAGCAUAUUGUCUUUUAAUGUUAGUAAUUGGCAGCCAAUUGAUUGUCUUUUUAUUGUUCCUUUUUUUUAAUGAGACCUGUGAUUGAGAGUUCAUAUUCUAGGGAAGAAUUUGUGGUUGUGGAUCUGAUUAGUUGGACUUGCUAUGUAUCAAGGAAUUUUGAGAAAACUAAUAUAUUGGUAUGUUGUUUUAUUUUUGUUUUUUGUCUUGUCUAUUGAUCUGUGUCUGUUUCAGGUUCUAAGAAACAAAUCACCAAGGCAUGCAAACAUCUUAUUCGAUUAUAUUCUUCAUACUCCUUAGAAGUAGUGUCUGUUUUAGUACAGCUUUUGUUGAAUGGAUCAGAUUCAAAAAGUUAUCAAGUCAGUCAUAGUACAACUCACGUGCAGAGUUUAUUUGAUAAUUGGAAGCCUGUCGUUAAGAAAUUGUCAAAUAAAGAACCAAAGUUGCUUCUGAAUCUUAUUAAGGCAGUCCUUGAAAAGAUUAAGACUCAAGAGGCCAUGGAAUAUGAAAGUGGUAACUGCUAUGUCACAUUUCUAACAUGUUAGCUACAUUUUUGUUUUUUGUUUGUUCAUUAAUAUUUCUAGUUCUUUCAUUAGACUUCUAAAUAUUGCAUUACAUUUAAUUUUUAAAAUGAGAAUAUUGUCAUCACAUUUUUUUGGUUGAAAUACAAAGGGACUGCCUCAAUAAGAAUUAAAUUAACAUAUAACUAGCAUUUCUGAAUAUUGUCAAGAGUGGCAUAAUUUUUGCUGAGUUUUUAUGAAAAAUUUUACCAUCAUCUUGGCGAACAUUGGAUUUUCUUUGUUGGGUUUGGUUGCGGCACUACUUUUGGCUUGGAAAAGUUAUUUUGAGUUGUCUUUAGGUGAUGGAAACCUUCGUCCAUAAUAUGCAAAUUAGUUUUGAUGUUUGAAAUCUCAAUAAUGCCUAGGAUUUACGAAUUACAAAGAUACUCCUCACUUAGUAUUUAUUUUUAAUUUUUUGUAUCUGUAGAUAUCAUAGUUGUCAAUCCCAUUCUAUACCUAUUGGAAUGGUCCGGUACUUUAUUGUACUGGUAACGAAAUGAUACGAAGUGAGUUGAAUUCUCUUCGGGGUAAUUUUUAGGGUAGUACCUGAUUAUUUUAGAUUGCACUGGGCUAUUUCACCAAUUGGGGUAGUAUAGGCUCUUCUAGUACAUACUGGAAGAAUUAGUGUUUAGUCCAUUAUAAGAUUUUAUAAAGGAAAAAUAGUUAAAGUUUAAAAAAUAAUAGAGUCCAAUGGAAGUUUAAAAAGUAAAAAAUGAUCAAAUAUUUCAACAAUUAAUAUGUAUUUAGAAAAGUGUACACAUAUAUCAAAUAUUUUAUAGCAAAGAUGAAACAUGAGUAGGAUUAGGAGUGGUUAUGCCAAUAUCUUGCUUUUAAGAUUUUGACUUGUUGAUAUGUUCACAUCCUACUUUUUAACAGUUUAACUAGUUGACAUGCCUUUAUUAUCUAAUUUCUUAAACAAAACUUGGACAAACCAUAUAAUCCCUCAGUUAAUAUCUGCAGCAGAGACAUUGGUUUAUGGCCCCUAAUAUCUGCAUAGCUUGGAGAACUUUAUAUUUUGUAUUUAUGUCAAAUCCCAAAUGGCAUUUGCUCAUGCUACUUCAGGUUGGCUCUACAAUUUUACAUCUUGUCAUUCUGCUCAAAUUUUGGUAUCUGCUAUUGUUAUAGAAAACAUAUAUUGCCAUGUAUUUGAUAAAUAAGAUUAUGUAGUUUAUCCAUACAUCAUAUUUUUUAGUGAGAUGGGAGGUAUGUUUCUUAAUCUUUGUUCACUCUGUAUGUUUGGAACUACCCAUUUUCAUCAAUUUUGAUGAAUGUUGAAUUUCUAUGUCAAAAUUUGGGUGUAUUUGAUUCACUGUUGGUUUUGAAAGUUGAUUGUAUAAGAAAAAUAUUUAUGUGUUUUUACCGAUACAAUCAAAGGGAAGUAGUUUAUUAGCUCCCUAUGAACACCUUAACAUUGUGGAUCAUGAUGACUUUGGAUCAUGUAAAUUUGUAAUAAAAUCUUUUUGAUGUGUCCAAAAAUCACUUUAUUGUUCAUAGCUUAAGAUUUUAUUUUGCUCAUAAUCAUGCUGCUAGUGUUGCUUGUAUGCUUGGGCUUAUGAAUUUUUACUGUUUAGCACCUAACUAUUAUCGAUAAGUGUUUAAAAUGAAUUUAUAUAUAUAUAUUGUCUUGAUUUGAUUAUAUAGAUCGUUGCUAUUUUAAAGCAUUCUUGAGCUUCAUUUUUUCCCCGAGUUGAUCUUUGAGCUAUUUUGCUUUCUUUUCUCUCUCUGCUUAACGGUUUCUCAACAUUGUUAUUAACUUUGGUUUUCUGCUUGUUUUAGUUAAUGCAGAGGACGCAAGGCAUCAUUGUGAAUUCUAUCUUUUUGUCCAUUAUUCAGAUGGAUGAACUCGUGCACGAAGCUAAAUUGUACAGGACUAAUUGGCGUUAUAAGCAUUUUUGGAAGUAUUAUAUAUUUUUGGAUAGAUGUGUAUGAAAAAUAUUUCGAUAGACUAGUAGUUAUAUUUUUGGAUAGACUAGUAGUUAUAUUUUUGGAUGGGUGUAUAUGGAAAAUAUUUCAGUAGACUAGUUAUAUUUUUUGAUAGAUGCACAUGGAUAAAAAUUUAAAUUGGAGGAAUAUGUACUUUGGAAUUACUUGUGGAUGAAAACUUAUAAUAGUUGUUGACUUUUAUUAAACAGGUUCAGGAUUGGAUGAUUUAUGUAUUUCGUUGAAUGUUCAUGAUUCAGACACUUCGUUGGUUUGAAUAAUUCUUUUUAAUUAUAGAUUAUAUUGAAUGGAUUGGAUGGAAUAUUUGUCUUCUAUUACAAGUUU